rnacentral:lncRNA from 1 species
GUCUUUUCCUGGCUGUCCUGUGUUGGUGAUAAAUGGAUCACAAUUUCAGGACUUCACACCAUUUCACCAGUCUCCUCUAAUAAUUUCUACUGUUUUUUAUUGGCAGGGUCAACACCAUGGUUCUGAGGUUCACUCUGAGAUUGAACUCAAUUUUCC